rnacentral:rRNA from 1 species
AACGAACGCUGGCGGCAUGCCUAACACAUGCAAGUCGAACGAGACCUUCGGGUCUAGUGGCGCACGGGUGCGUAACGCGUGGGAACCUGCCCUUAGGUUCGCAAUAACUCCCCGAAAGGGGUGCUAAUACCGGAUAAUGUCUUCGGACCAAAGAUUUAUCGCGUUUGGAUGGGCCCGCGUUGGAUUAGCUAGUUGGUAGUGUAAAAGCCUACCAAGACGACGAUCCAUAGCUGGUCUGAGAGGAUGAUCAGCCACACUGGGACUGAGGCACGGCCCAGACUCCUAGGGGGAGGAGCAGAGGGGAAUAUUGGACGCUGGGCGAAAGUCUGACAACGCAGUGCGGGGUAAGUGAUGAAGGCCUUAGGGUAGUAAAGCUCUUUGACCCGGGAUGAUAAUGACAGUAACGGGAGAAUAAGCACCGGCUAACUACGUG